rnacentral:rRNA from 1 species
GACAUGCAAGUGGUAGGAAGCCGAAAGGUGACCGACCCUCGGGGAGCUUGCACAGGUGCUGCAUGGCUGUCGUCAGCUCGUGUCGUGAGAUGUUCGGUUAAGUCCGCUAACGAGCGCAACCCUCGCUGUGUGUUAUAUGUGUCACACGGGACUGCCGGUCUUAAGCCGGAGGAAGGUGGGGAUGAUGUCAAGUCAGCAUGGCCUUUAUAUCCCUGGGCUACACACACGCUACAAUGGCCAACACAAUAGGUUGCUAAGCCGCGAGGUGGCGCCAAUCCAUAAAGUUGGUCUCAGUUCAGAUUGUAGGCUGCAACCCGCCUGCAUGAAGAUGGAGUUGCUAGUAACCGCAGGUCAGCUAUACUGCGGUGAAUACGUUCCCGGGGCUU